GUGAUCACUUUGGCAGCACAUAUGUUAAAAUUGGAAUGAUACAGCGCAAAUUAGUAUGGCCCCUGUGCAAGGAUGACAUGCAAAUUCAUGAAGUUUUCCACUCUUAA